CACUUCCACAAUUGGAUUUUGCAUGAAACUAUGCAUCGGCAAGUUGUCUUUGGCUACAUCUCUAUCUCCAAUUCACAUGUUAGAUCUAUGAUGAUGGUGAUGAUAAACGGUGGAAAUUAUGAAGAACAUUUCAGAACAUGUCAUUUUGAUAGAACUUAAUUUUUGCAGCAGAAUGUUUUUCUCGAUUGAAUUGGACAACGCUUAAAACAAUUUCGUCAGAUAAUCCUAAGCAUCAUAAUUGCUUAUAAAACGGGAGAAACCAGAGCUUUGAAUUGCAAUUUUAGGU